rnacentral:rRNA from 1 species
AGUGAACGCUGGCGGUAGGCCUAACACAUGCAAGUCGAACGGCAGCACAGUAAGAGCUUGCUCUUACGGGUGGCGAGUGGCGGACGGGUGAGGAAUACAUCGGAAUCUACUUUUUCGUGGGGGAUAACGUAGGGAAACUUACGCUAAUACCGCAUACGACCUACGGGUGAAAGCAGGGGAUCUUCGGACCUUGCGCGAUUGAAUGAGCCGAUGUCGGAUUAGCUAGUUGGCGGGGUAAAGGCCCACCAAGGCGACGAUCCGUAGCUGGUCUGAGAGGAUGAUCAGCCACACUGGAACUGAGACACGGUCCAGACUCCUACGGGAGGCAGCAGUGGGGAAUAUUGGACAAUGGGCGCAAGCCUGAUCCAGCCAUACCGCGUGGGUGAAGGAGGCCUUCGGGUUGUAAAGCCCUUUUGUUGGGAAAGAAAAGCAGCAGGUUAAUACCCCGCUGUUCUGACGGUACCCAAAGAAUAAGCACCGGCUAACUUCGCG